rnacentral:lncRNA from 1 species
AGGUGGCUGUCUACAAGCCAGGAAGAGAGCCCUCUGUAACAACUGAAUAAGCUAUCACCUUGAUCACAGGCUUCCAGCUUCCAAAACUAGAUGGUUCUUGCCAUGUUGUGCUGGCUGGACUCGAACUCCUGGAUUCAAGCAAUCCUCCUGCGGACUCAGAUGAUCCUUCUGCCUCAGCUUCCUGAGUAGCUGGGGUAAAGCUUAUAAAGUAAAAACUUUGAUAUCCCCAGCAGAAUCAUAACUUUUCACAGAGGCAUCUAAUUUCUUAACCUUAAAGCAGAAGAGAAACGUCUUUCAAAUUUUCCUAUGACGGUCAAGGAGUGGGGGUUGUGGAAUGUAUAUACUUAGAUGAAUUAAACUCAGACCUUCUCCGGUUGGAUGUUUGAGCCGCCCAGACAAAGAUGAAGAUUAACACAGUUUAAGGAUGAAAUAUAGACCAUCCUGUGCAAAACCACCGUGUUGCAGUUUAAUUAAAAGAAUUCAUUAAAGUGGUGCCCCAUCCAGGGUAA